CAAAGCACUUUGAAGAGAGAGUUAAAGAGGACGUGAAACCGGUAGGAUGGAAACGGAUAGAGCCAGCGAAGUCGCUCGUAUUCAGCCAAAGGCCUCGGGCUCCGGCUCGUCGUGUUGCUAAUCACAUGCGGCGGGUUUCGGGCUCGGGGCUGAGGUGCAUUUGCGGGCGUUUGCGCUGAGACUUGCGGGGCAGCUACCCGACGUGCGUCUAGAGGCUUCCCUCUGGGUUGAACCUGGUCGCGCUGACGGUUGUUUGUUCUGCUCGUAUGGGCAUGGCCUACGAACCUGGGUGCGUCAGCCGCUUUCUAUGGUUGGUUAUCACAUGUGAUGCUGGCCUGGUGAGUUGUUGGCGUGUUCGGCGUUCCCAUGCCCACUCUCGGUGUAGAAGCUGGUCAUCUACCCGACCCGUCUUGAAACACGGACCAAGGAGUUUAGCGUAUGCGCGAGCCAAUGGGUGUCAAACCUAGAGGCGCAAUGAAAGUGAAGGCCUAGUCGCUAGGCUUACAUGCGAGUGGUGGUGCCUCGGCUUCACCAUGCAGCAUGGUCCCGUUCUGGUCGCUUGCGACGGGGCGGAGACAGAGCGUAUGCGCUGAGACCCGAAAGAUGGUGAACUAUUCCUGAGCAGGACGAAGCCAGAGGAAACUCUGGUGGAAGUCCGAAGCGAUUCUGACGUGCAAAUCGAUCGUCUGA
rnacentral:rRNA from 1 species